rnacentral:rRNA from 1 species
UAUUGGUCAAUGGGCGCGAGCCUGAACCAGCCAAGUAGCGUGAAGGAUGACGGCCCUAUGGGUUGUAAACUUCUUUUAUAUGGGAAUAAAGUUUGGUAUGCAUACCAUUUUGUAUGUACCAUAUGAAUAAGGAUCGGCUAACUCCGUGCCAGCAGCCGCGGUAAUACGGAGGAUCCGAGCGUUAUCCGGAUUUAUUGGGUUUAAAGGGUGCGUAGGCGGGCUUUUAAGUCAGCGGUAAAAAUUCGGGGCUCAACCCCGUCCGGCCGUUGAAACUGGGGGCCUUGAGUGGGCGAGAAGAAGGCGGAAUUCGUGGUGUAGCGGUGAAAUGCUUAGAUAUCACGAAGAACUCCGAUUGCGAAGGCAGCUCACUGGACUGUUGACUGACACUGAGGCUCGAAAGUGUGGGUAUCAAACAG